rnacentral:rRNA from 1 species
CGCCUACGGGAGGCAGCAGUGGGGGAUAUUGCACAAUGGGGGAAACCCUGAUGCAGCGACGCCGCGUGGGCGAAGAAGUAUUUCGGUAUGUAAAGCCCUAUCAGCAGGGAAGAAGAAAUGACGGUACCUGAGUAAGAAGCACCGGCUAACUACGUGCCAGCAGCCGCGGUAAUACGUAGGUGGCAAGCGUUGUCCGGAUUUACUGGGUGUAAAGGGCGUGCAGCCGGGCUGACAAGUCAGAUGUGAAAUCCCGCGGCUCAACCGCGGAACUGCAUUUGAAACUGUCAGCCUUGAGUACCGGAGAG